rnacentral:rRNA from 1 species
CGCUCCUUGUAAAGAAUCUGAUAUAUAAGGAGUCCUGCCUGCCCAGUGACUUAAGGUUAAACGGCCGCGGUAUCUUGACCGUGCAAAGGUAGCAUAAUCAUUUGCCUUUUAAAUGGAGGCUGGAAUGAAUGGCAAGACGGGAGUCUAACUGUCUCUCUCUUAUGUUUUUGAAGUUAUUAUUUUUGUGAAGAAACAGAAAUAAGGUCGUAGGACGAGAAGACCCUUUCGAGCUUUAGCAGAGGAUCGACGCAGUUUUAUAGUGUUAUUUAAUUGCUAAUUAUUCAUGGGUAAUGAUUUUUUCUUUACUAUUUAGAUAACGAUUAAUGUGAGUCUUAUGCUUUGGUUGGGGCAACCGCGGAGAAUAUUAAUCCUCCGCUAUUUUUAUCAAUAAAAUAAUUUUUUGAUAGUAGUAUAUUUAGAAAUGAUCCAUUUAGUUAGAGUGAACAAAAGAAUAAGUUACCGUAGGGAUAACAGCGUAAUUUCUUUGGAGAGUUCGUAUUGAUAAAGGAGUUUGCGCACCUCGAUGUUGGAUCGGGAUUU